rnacentral:rRNA from 1 species
AUUGAACGCUGGCGGCAGGCCUAACACAUGCAAGUCGAGCGGAUGAAGGGAGCUUGCUCCUGGAUUCAGCGGCGGACGGGUGAGUAAUGCCUAGGAAUCUGCCUGGUAGUGGGGGAUAACGUCCGGAAACGGGCGCUAAUACCGCAUACGUCCUGAGGGAGAAAGUGGGGGAUCUUCGGACCUCACGCUAUCAGAUGAGCCUAGGUCGGAUUAGCUAGUUGGUGGGGUAAAGGCCUACCAAGGCGACGAUCCGUAACUGGUCUGAGAGGAUGAUCAGUCACACUGGAGCUGGGACACGGUCCAGACUCCUGCGGGAGGCAGCAGUGUGGAAUAGUGGACAAUGGGCGAAAGCCUGAUCCAGCCGUGCCGCGUGUGUGAAGAAGGUCUUCGGAUUGUAAAGCACGUCAAGGUGGGAGGAAGGGCAGUAAGUUAAGACCAUGCUGUUGUGACGUUACCAACAGAAGAAGCACCGGCUAACUACGUG